AUGGCCAGCAAUGUUACCAACAGAACAGAUCCUCGCUCCAUGAACUCCCAUGUGUUCACUGGAAAUCUCAACACUCUUGUGGUCAAGAAGUGUGAUGUGGAGGCAAUCUUUUCGAUGUGCAGCAAAAUUGUGGGUUGCUCAGUUCAUAAGGGCUUUGCCUUUGUUCAACAGGUGAAUGAGAGAAAUGCCCCGGCUGCUGUAGAAGAGAGAAGGGCAGAAUAAUUGCUGGCCAGGUUUUAGAUAUUAACCUGGCUGCAGAGCCAAAAGUGAACGGAGGAAAAGCAGGUGUGAAAUGAUCUGCAGCGAUGUAUGGGUCAGUAACAGAACACCCUUCUCCAUCGCCUCUAUUCAGCUCCUCUCUUGACUUGGACUAUGACUUUCAACGGGAUUAUUGUGAAAGGAUGUACAGUUGCCCAGCACAUUUUCCUCCUCCUCCUCCUAUUGCUUAGGCUGUAGUGCCCUCGAAACGUCAGCAUGUUUCAGAAAACACCUCAUGAAGGGGCAAAAGUGGCUUCAAUUCUAAGAGUGGACAGCAGGGAUCUUCCAAGUCUGGAAAGUUGAAAGGAGAUGACCUUUAGGCCAUUAAGAAGGAACUGACCCAGAUAAAACAAAAGGUGGAUUCACCCCUGGAAAACCUGGAAAAAUUUAAAAGGAACAGAGCAAACAAGCAGUAGAGAUGAAGAACGGUAAGUGAGAAGAGGAACAGAGCAGGAGCUCAGUGAAGAAAAAUGAGAUUAAUGUGAAGUCUGAGGGGGGCGCAGAUGACUCUGCUGAGGAGGGGGAUCUACUGGAUGAUGAUGAUAAUGAAGGUGGGGGAUGGCCAGCUGGAGUUGACCAAGGAUGAAAAAGAGGCUGAGGAAGGAGAGGAUGACAGAGACAGCGCCAAUGGCAAAAAUGACUCUUAA
rnacentral:lncRNA from 1 species